rnacentral:tRNA from 1 species
AGGACUGUGGCUCAGCGGUAGAGCACUCUCCUAGCAUGUUCGAGAUACUGGGUUUGAUUCUCAGCAGUACGU